rnacentral:rRNA from 1 species
UGCGUAGGCGGCGCGGUAAGUCGGGUGUGAAAUCUCGGGGCUUAACUCCGAAACUGCAUUCGAUACUGCCGUGCUUGAGGACUGGAGAGGAGACUGGAAUUUACGGUGUAGCGGUGAAAUGCGUAGAUAUCGUAAGGAAGACCAGUGGCGAAGGCGGGUCUCUGGACAGUUCCUGACGCUGAGGCACGAAGGCGGGGGAGCAAACG